AUAAGCUUGAGGUGUUGUGGCUGGAUCAAUACAAUAAAUUUAACUCUUCUGGUCAUUUUGUAUCUGUUACGCACACUCCCCAUAUACGUACUCUUUUUCUUACUGAAAAAAAUCCAGCAUCUUAUUAAUGCCUACAACUGGAAGCAUAAACUGCCCUGAAUUCCCUUUAGCACAACGGCUGGAGUCGGGGGAUUGGGGAUUCUUGACUUCAGAUCCUAUGAAAUGCACAGUCUUAUCCGAC